UACCAGCACCCCGAGUGGUCGGGACGUUUAUUGGGCCUAAAGCAUCCGUAGCCGGUUCUACAAGUCUUCCGUUAAAUCCAGCUGCUUAACAGAUGGGCUGCGGAAGAUACUAUGGAGCUAGGAGGCGGGAGAGGCAAGCGGUACUCGAUGGGUAGGGGUAAAAUCCGUUGAUCCAUUGAAGACCACCAGUGGCGAAGGCGGCUUGCCAGAACGUGCUCGACGGUGAGGGAUGAAAGCUGGGGGAGCAAACCGG
rnacentral:rRNA from 1 species